rnacentral:tRNA from 1 species
GUGCCCAUAGCUCAGCUGGUAGAGCAACUGACUUUUAAUCAGUAGGUCACAGGUUCGAACCCUGUUGGGCACA